rnacentral:rRNA from 1 species
AUGGCGCGCAACCAUGCUCUCGGCGAUCAGGGGGCGGAAAUGCAGGGCUACCUCAACAUCGACCAGGUAGUGCCCCCUCUGAAUGUUGAAGUCACCUCCGACGAUGGCAAGACCAAGUCGAAGGCACCCAACCCGGAGUUCUCCGCGUGGUACGCGAAGGAUCAGCAGGUGUUCUCCUACCUGCUGUCCUCCCUGCCGCGCGAGAUGGCCAUCCAAGUGGCAACCUGCCACACCGCCGCCGAGCUCCGGAACACGGUGCAGGGGAUGCUGGCCUCGCACACCCGCGCCCUCACCGUCAAUGUCAGAGUUGCACUGGCGAAUCUUCAGAAGGGCACUCCAACAUCACUGAAUAUGUUGGUAAGAUUAGAUCUUUAUGUGAUGAACUUGUUGCUUCAGGAAAGAAAGUAG